rnacentral:rRNA from 1 species
GAUGAACGCUGGCGGCGUGCCUAAUACAUGCAAGUCGAGCGAAGCGGGGACGGGUGAGUAACACGUGGAUAACCUCCUAUAAGACUGGGAUAAAUUCGGGAAACCGGAGCUAAACCGGAUACUUAUAGAUGGAUCCGCGCUGCAUUAGCUAGUUGGUAAGGUAACGGCUUACCAAGGCAACGAUGCAUAGCCGACCUGAGAGGGUGAUCGCCCACACGGCAACUGUAACACGGUCCAGACUCCUACGCACGGCAGCAGUAGGGGAUCUUCCACCAUGUGCGAAAGCCUGACCGGGCAACCCCGCGUGCGUGAUGAAGGUGCUCGAAUCGUAAACCACUGUAAGUAAGGAAGCGGUACCUGAUCAAAAGGCCACGACUAACUACGUGCCAGCAGCCUCGGUAAUAC